rnacentral:rRNA from 1 species
UACGGGAGGCAGCAGUGGGGAAUAUUGCACAAUGGGCGAAAGCCUGAUGCAGCUAUGCCGCGUGUAUGAAGAAGGCCUUAGGGUUGUAAAGUACUUUCAUCGGGGAGGAAAAAACAAAACUAAUAAUUUUAUUUCUUGACGUUACCCGAAAAAGAAGCACCGGCUAACUCCGUGCCAGCAGCCGCGGUAAUACGGAGGGUGCUAGCGUUAAUCAGAAUUACUGGGCGUAAAGAGCACGUAGGUGGUUUUUUUAAGUCAGAUGUGAAAUCCCUGGGCUUAACCUAGGAACUGCAUUUUGAAACUGAAAUACUAGAGUAUCGUAGAGGGAGGUAGAAUUCUAGGUGUAGCGGUGAAAUGCGUAGAUAUCUGGAGGAAUACCUGUGGCGAAAGCGGCCUCCUAAACGAAUACUGACACUGAGGGUGCGAAAGCGUGGGGAGCAAACAGGGAUUAGAUACCCGU